rnacentral:lncRNA from 1 species
GGCUUAGUGAGGAGUGUUUCCGUAUUGGUCGUGGUUGACCUUCCCCCCACCUCUAACCCAGAAGACGAGUGAUAGAUCUGCCCUAAAACCAAUCAGAAGUCUUCAGGAUGAGGCCGCGCAGUGCCCUAUAAAAAGCAUACAGUUUGCACCUUAGAGGUGCAGUCUCUCCCAGGUGAGGUAGGGGUGUCCUCCCGGUCUGCCGCUUCCCUCGACCCCCCCACCUGGGCCCUCGAUGCAUCGGGCUCCUCCUCUUCCAGCUGUCACUUUCUCCCCAUUUCUAACCUGCAGCUUGACUCAUCCUCCACCACUAAAAAGUACUAGGGCCAGCUCCCUCCACCACCACUUCACUUCUUCCGUGUCUACCUCUUAAGGCUGGCCUCGAACUCGCCUCGAUCCUCCUGCCUCAGCAUCCUGAGUGCUGGGAUCACAGGCGUGUGCCCCCAUGCCCAGCCACCUGAGCCCUCCAAAGAUGGCUUCUUUGGCUUAAGGAUUUCCCAGGAGCCUCUGCGUCUCCCCUUCACUCCUGCGGUCUGGUCUUUUGUUUGGACGCCUGUUCCCUCUGCCUCCAGGGAAGACUUUCCAAGCCAUCCCUGUCCUCUCCUGCGCAGGCUUGAGAAGGAUCCCAGGGACACAGACCCAGGGUGCAGGCGUCACUUUUGCUUGCCUCCUGGGAUCUCAGUGACCCAGGCUGCCCCAGGCGUCUGAGCCAUGAGAAGUGGCAGAAGCUGGGACCGCGAUCCCCUGCCCCCUGCCUGCCCUGCCCGGCGGGCCGGGCCUGACCGCACCCUGCUCCUUUCCUGUGCCCACUGCUUUGCCCAGGCCAGUGGCCGCCACCAACUGCCACAGAACCUUCUGGCAAGGACGUUCUGCAGGGUUCUCCCUCCUCCUUUUCUGGUUCUGGCCGGGGCUGGGGUCUUCGGGGCCUGGCAAGGAAGGACAGAGACCAGGGGUGGAGCCAUUAGGGCUGAAUCUGGAUCCCGGCCCCCUGCUUUCGCGUGUCACCGCCAGGGGGCGCCCACAGCAUUCCCAGAGCGCGGCCCGGUGUUCAACACCGGGAGACUCUCACGGGUCGGGACUGGGGCCCUGCUGUGCUCUGUCCCUCUCCACCCUCUGCCAACCCAGACGCAGCUCCACAAGGCUGUCCACUCUGCUCCUUGGAGUCAGGCUUCCCACAGUGGCUGGGCGUGGAGGUGCACGCCUGUCAUUCCAGCACUCAGGAAGCUGAGGCAGGAGGAUCACCGAGUUCAAGGCCAGCCUGGACUACUGGAAUCAUACUUAGGGACAAAGGCAGGCUCGGCCCCUCUCCAUGGCUCUCUCUCCCUUCUAGGCCCUGAAUUCUUUCAAAGCCACACCUGGUUGGACACCAGCCCUCGGAGGGUGGCCUCAGCCCCGGAGGGUAAAGCCUGUG